CUCGUACGAAAUACUGGACGAAAUAAUGAUGCCGUGAAAUGAGGUACGAUCUCUGGCGACUCCCAGAAAUCUUGUGUGUGUACAAAUUAACGAUGGAAUUCGAUUACGUGAGUACAUAUACAUUUAAAGUUGAAGAUGAACGGGAGAUUGAUGGAAAUGACGUUCGCAUCAUUCGAAAUACUUCGCGCUUACAGUGUUAAAUUAUGUAGAUAAUACAUUUGUCAUAUUAUUAUUGUUGUUCUUUGCCAUUUAUGGAGCAGUGUUUAAAUACAUAAUUUAAAAUUGAUACGCUGAUUUGGAAGCAUAAAUCCUGUUAUUGUUAAUAACACGUUACAAAUGGCGUGGAGAUAUUAUAAUUAUCUAUGAUGAAGAUCGCGUGUGUCAUAAAAAUCUAGGAAGAAAUGAAACUUAGCCCGGAAUCUUAAUUAAACCAUCACUGGUGUGAAAAUAAUUGGCGAAUUUACUAUUCCUUUGAUGUCAGAUAACAUAGAUUUCUCCUAAUUAAGCUUGACUUACGCCAACGAGAUUUGUCCAUCGAUUCCAUAAGACUUAGAAUUAAAACUGAUACUUUCAAAAUGAUACGAAACAAAGCAUUUCGUACAAUAAAACAAUAAAAAUUGAAAAAAAAUUGUAUAAACUAACGGUUAAAUUUAAUAAUUCUUUUAUAUGUUAAUAUUCAGCAUUAUAUUCUUGAACAGAAACAAAAUUCAAAAAUUCUUAAAAAAAAUGUAUGAGAAAAAAAUGUUUUAUAAAAACAUAUCACAGUAUACUAUAUAUUCAAUAUGAUGUGAAUUCACUAUUGGAUUUCAAUCUAUAAGAGAAGAUCUAUUGAGAAACGUUGAUCCGUAAUACACAAUUUUCUAUAACAUUGUAUAUCAAAUGGAAAAUAUAAAUUCUCUUUUAAUCUUUUCAUAUAUUUCAAAUUUUAAUAUUUGACAAAAAUAACGAGUUAACUAGCUACAAUGCAUCACAUAUUUUCCAUUUACUAAAUCAAACAAUUCCCAUUUGAAAAACGAUUCGAAUCCAAGUCAACGAUCGAUGAAGGAAAACAACUCAGGGGUCACCGUCCGUUCGUAUCAAAAGAAGGAUACUUCCAGGAUCUUCUCUAGAUAGGACAGGCGUGCACAGGCAGAGUAUGUGUCGUGGCCGAUAAUUAUCGACGAGGCUGAUCGUGCGUGCAGCCAGAAAAAUGGCGAGCAACGGGACAGGUCGGUCGGCGACUACUGCCUAGACCGCGGUCUCCUGUCGAUGUCGAAUGAAGAUGUCCCGGCUACGUUCUCCCUUGCCUAUGUACCAGCUGGAAUAAGUGUGGGUAAUUUGCUCGACUGGCUAGACCACUUGUUUUGCGGAGGGAACCGAUGCCGUUUAAGAGACCGUGCCACCGAGCAAAUCCUCGUUCACGUAUGUGUUACGUAAUCCGUGUGCACGAUUGUUGUGUUGAAUGAAAAUGAAUCCGUGAGAAAUGGAUUUAUGAUUUUGGAAGAUAGAAUAAUUCAUUUUUGAUAUAUUAUGUUAUUUAAUGAUUUUUUUAUUUUAAAUUUUGUCUUAUUCUUUUUUGUUAAGUUUAAACGAUUUGAGAUAAUAGUUGUAUAUUUUUGAAGUAUUCUGCGAGGUAAUAGGCGUAUAUUCUUUUAUUUUUUUAGUUUUUCUUAUAUAAAGUUAUGUAAAAAUCAUGGAAGAAUGUAGAGAAAGUUUGCACUUAUAUUAAUAAUAAUGAUAUUGAAAUUUGAUCUCAAGAGUUAAAAAAGAUAUGAUCAUGUUUUGAUAAUAUUUUAUGAAAGAGAAUCUUGUUACAUCAUCAAUCAAUAGUGUUUUAUGUAUAAAAAGAAAGAAUACAAGAAUACAAGAUCAGUGAAAAAUAUUUGAGAAAUAGAUCAUUAAUGAAAUGUGUAAACUUUUAAUAGAAGUUGUUAUCGUGUCUUUAACUGAUUAAAAUUCUAGAUUUUCGAGAAUUUCAAAGUAGUCUAGUUUGUCUUGACAUGCAAAAAAUGUGAUUUUUAAUCAAACAUCUAAAACAUUCGAUAAGAGAUAUGACUCAAAUUUGUUUAAAAAAUAUAAAAAUAUAAAUAGUUGAAAGCUGAUUGCGUGAAACAUGCAAAGUGAAAAUAGGUGUCGAACACGAAAUAAACGAUUUGAAAUAAGAAUAAUAAAAUAUUUAAUUGAAAGGUUUAGAUUAGUCAGACACGAUAUCAAAGUUAAUUGGCAUGUAACUAUUUCAUGUUUAUAUAGAGCUUUAUACAUGUAUAAUAGAAUUUCUAUUUUAGUAAAGUAGAAUUGAAUUAAUAAUUGAAUUAUGCAUUAGAUCAUAAACUAAAAUUAACGUUUCUUUCUUUAAUUACAAGAAUUCUCUUAUUCGAAAAAAUUAUAGUAUUUUAUAUUAAUUUUGAUAUUAGAGGUUCCAUUAUUACUAAUUCGACUAUCAAGAUUAAAUUUUAAUACUUCAUAAAUUUUAUAAGUAGUUUGGAUCUCGAUUUCACCUACUUAUUCAACUUUUAUUGUACCUAGCAACCUAGAGCAAAGAAAUGAGAGAACGCAAAAUAUUCUUAUUCGACCUCUGACAACUCGCUCGGAACAUAGAGGCCAUACGUCAGGAAGACCGGUUAAUGGACACUAAAGUAACAACCGGCAGGUUUCCCUUUACUCUGCUAUGCGUUUAAACAACAAGGACCGGUAGCUAGAAUUAAUGAGGCACCAGUUUCCAGUAAUGUUAGUCGUGAUAGGAUCGGCGGAUCAAAAUGCAGAUUUGUACGGGUGAAAAGUCUGGCACCGGUUCGAUUGCUGUACACGUUCCAAUGUCUAAUAGUUUGGAUGCUACUAUGUCGCUAAGGUCAAGAUAUAUUCAGAGCUCACGAUGAAGUGUUUGAUAAAUAUUUUUUGAUCAGCCAUUGAAGAUAUUUUAUAAUAUAAAUAUUUAAUAAUUUUAGAUUUUUCAAAUUUUAUUUUUUUUAUAAAUGCAAGUAAUAUUGUGGA